rnacentral:rRNA from 1 species
GGGCCAACACAAGUGGUGGAGCAUGUUGUUUAAUGCGAAAAUACGCGCGAAAUCUUACCAGUUCUUGACAGUGUGUUAAGUGACAAAAAGGUAAUUUUUUUGUCCUCUUUAUAGUAAGAAUUAUCACACACAGGUGUUGCAUGGCUGUCGUCAGCUCGUGUUGUGAAAUGUUAGAUUAAUUUCUUAAACGAGCGUAACCCCUACUUUUAGUUGCUAAUGUUUGUUGGUCCAAACAAGAACUCUAAAAGAACUGCUAGUGGAUAAGCUAGAGGAAGGUGGGGAUAACGUCAAGUCCUCAUGGCCCUUAUGAACUGGGCUACAAACGUGCUACAAUGAAAACUACAAAAAGAAGCAAUAGUGUAUUAAGCUGGAGCAAAUCUCCAAAAGUUUUCUUAGUUCGGAUUGUGGGCUGAAACUCGCCCACAUGAAGUUGGAAUCACUAGUAAUCGU